ACGGAAGGCAGCAGUCGGGAAUAUUGCGCAAUGGAGGGAACUCUGACGCAGUGACGCCGCGUAUAGGAAGAAGGUUUUCGGAUUGUAAACUAUUGUCAUUAGGGAAGAAAAAAGACUGUACCUAAGGAGGAAGCCCCGGCUAACUAUGUGCCAGCAGCCGCGGUAAUACAUAGGGGGCAAGCGUUAUCCGGAAUUAUUGGGUGUAAAGGGUGCGUAGACGGGAAUGCAAGUUAGUUGUGAAAUCCCUCGGCUUAACUGAGGAACUGCAACUAAAACUGUAUUUCUUGAGUAUCGGAGAGGAAAGCGGAAUUCCUAGUGUAGCGGUGAAAUGCGUAGAUAUUAGGAGGAACACCAGUGGCGAAGGCGGCUUUCUGGACGGUAACUGACGUUGAGGCACGAAAGUGUGGGGAGCAAACAGGAUUAG
rnacentral:rRNA from 1 species